AUUUGAUGUAUCCAUUUGGCUAUACCCAUGCUGCACUUCCAGGUACCUAUUAGAAAUUCCGGACAGAGUUAUUCUUGUCUACAAAUUCAUCUCUUCUCUUACCUUGCACCAGAUUAUAAAUCUCUAUAGUACAUACCAUUAACCUUAUAUUCAUCCUGGUUGGUGCCUGGCUCACUGGAGAGGCACACACACAUUUAGCAUGGGGACAAAAGUAAUUAUGACAGGAGUAAAUAAAUGAAUAAACAAAUGAAAGUUCCUCAAUAGGUUGAACGGUGGGGGACAUAUAUCAUAAUUUAUGCUAUAUAGUUGUAACUAGAAAAUAAUUGUUUCUUUUUUUUUUUUUUUUUUUGUUUUUCUCCGGUACCAGGAACCGAACUCACGACCUUGCGCUUGCCAGGAAGGUGCUUUGCCGCUGAGCUAAAUCCCCAGCCCAGUUGUUUCUUAUGUUGAUAAUAAGCCAGUGGUUCUCAAUGGGAUCAGAAUCACCGAGACUCCCUGUUUAAACACAGAUUGUGGGCCUCGGCCUGAGGUUUGAUUUUGUAAUUCUGAGAUUGACCAUCUCUGACAAAUCCUAAGAUGAAACUGAUGCCAGAGUUCAAGCACCAGAUUUUGAGACUGUCUAUGAUGUUAUUGUAGCAUAGUAAUUUCAUGUGUUUCAUUAUUCCGUAAUCACUUUUAUCCAAUUAGCUCUUAUCUACUUCUCCAGGAGCAUAUUUGUCAUACUUUCGGAACAGUUUUGUCGCCGUGACUGAUGGAGAACAGUGUGCAUGGCUGGCAUGGUUUGGAAACUUGGUUUUUUUUAGCCAGUGAUGGAAUCCAAAGGAAUCCUUUAUCAGAGUCCUCACCUCCGACAGGAAAGGAAAUCUCAACCACGCUAUGCACCAGGCUUCAAACAUGUGACUACAAUAAUAUAUAUCCCUCAGAUAGUCACCGAGAGGGACAUGAAGGGUGCUCCUCUGCUUUGAAUAAGAGUCCGGAACAGCAGGGUAUGUUUUCUUUUCCCUUCUGUAACAGCAAUGGACACCCCCUGGGAGUGAAACUGGAUUUUUAUGUAAGGAAGCACUUGCUCUGGUCGGGUUCUCAUGAUAAUAAAUUGUCUUCCAGUCUAGCCUGGUUGCCAUCCGGAAUGAAGACAUCCAAGACACCUCUGGAUUCACUACAGAACUCACUCUGCUCGUUCUUUUCCCACUGUUGUCUUCUCCUGGCUGUUUCUGUGGUCCAUCAGGGCAUGGAGAAAUAACCUACAAUCCCAUUAGACAGAAGAUCUUAUGUGACAAUAAUAAAAACUAGUGUCCCAGUUGGAGACGGUAUAUCGUGGAAGCUCUGGAAAGGAGAUUUGGGAUUUGGUCCUUAUCACUGUGGCUAACAAACUGUAGAAUGUUUGAAAGUUUCUUAAGCAAGUUUGGUCACAAAAAGGUAUUAAAUUGGGUAAA
rnacentral:lncRNA from 1 species